AAGUUCCUUUCAGACACUAGAAAGGGGGAAAUUUGAUUAUUUUUUUAAAGAAGAAUUUUAUCCAAGCAUUACUGUAAUCCACUACAGAUUUGCAAAGAAUGCUGCUCAGAUUUCACAGCUAAUGUUCAGUGCUAGUUGGUUCUGUACGUUUCCCCUGUGGAUCUGAACGUGUGCUGCUCUAAUCCCUGCUUUGGCUUGAUCACGACUGAGUUGUGAUUUUACCCACCUGUUGUGGUGGUUAAAUCUGGUGUGAUGUGGCUGUAACAUCCCAAAGUGCCUCCCAUGUUGCAGUGAGUAAUUCUGUGAAACUGAUUUUAAAAAAUCCUUGUUUUUGUUUUUAUUUGCAGUGCUGUCCCAUGGCAGCCACCCCAGCAGAGAGCUCCAGGAGCCAUGGGAAGGGGCUGGAGCGGAGCCAGAGCCACAGCAGCUCUGCCUUGGACUAUUCAGGAGACACCUUUGAGUCCUUCAGCGAGGAGGAGGAGAGGGAAGCAGCUGGAUCCUGGUGUUCCACAGAGGAUUUGGAGGGGGCAGCUGUGUCAGAGGCUUUGGAAAGCUCAGCAUCACAGGCAGGCCAAAGAGCAGCAGAGGAGGAGUUUGAAGCAGUGGAUCCUGCAGCUGUGGAAAGAGCUGCCAUAGGAAAAUGGAUUGAUGCCAUAGGAAAGUGGAUUGAUCUGAAAAAUAAAGACACUGGGAUUAGGCCAGACAAAUCUGCCAUCAUAACUCCUGCUGGUGACAGAAGCUGAAAUCCAUGAGGUUUCAACCUGUCCUGGCUGCCAGCAGAAGGAAGCAGAGCUGGCCAAGGUUGCCUUUCUCAGGCAAAAGAAGGCUCUGCUGGAAGGUGCUUUAAUCCAAGAGAAACUGGAAGAACAGUUUUACUCCAGGGUAAGCAAACAUUGCUGAAAAAAAUGCAUGCUACAUUUUAUAGGUGCUGUAAUGAAAGAAUCUGUAAUUCAGAUUCUCCCUGAUUUAUGGCAGUGAGAUCAGUGCAAACCAAAAUAGAAUUUGGGUCCAUUUCAGUAAUGAAAUGCUUGGGACCAAGAUUCUCCUCAAGUCAUUGGAGCUGCUGAUUUGUGGAAGCUGAAGGUCAUUCCCAGGCUGUCCUGGAAUGGGUUUGGGUCCCUUUUGAUUGUGUCUCUCCAGUUUGUUUUCUGUCCGAACUGAAAUGGCAAAUUAAAUGAUGUGACAGGAGGUGACUGCCCCUGCUGGGCUUCCUUGCUCAGCCUUUGGGAAUCUUGGACACUGCAAUGUGUGAUGGAGGCUGAGGUUUUUCUGGAAUACUGGGAUUUUUUCUGGCAUACUCUGAGAUUUCUGCUUGCAAUUCCUGUCUCUGUGCCAGUGUCCCAGGGAUGGAAGCUUUGUUGGUAGGAAUUGCCUCUGGAGCAGCUGGGGGAGCAAUGAAACGUGCAGAAUUCCCUGGGCCUCCGUGGCUGCUCUUCAGGAGGAUCCUUGUGGCCAUGAUAUUUUCUGAAAAAUCCUUUCUUUAGGAUUUUUCCUCCUGAGAAGCUGAGAGGCCUCAGGAACAAAAUGCAAACAAUGAUUAUCUGCUGCUGUGGAAUGCAACAGGUGCAUCUGGGAUUGGUCUCAUGUGGUUGUUGCUAAUUAAUGGCCAAUCACAGUGAGCUGGCUUGGACUGUCUCAGUCAGACACAAACCUUUGUUAUCAUUCCUUUUCUAUUCUUAGCCAGCUUUCUGAUUAAACCCUUUCUUCUAUUCUUUUAGUAUAGUUUUCAUAUAAUAUAUAUGAUAAAACAAUAAAUCAGCCUUCUGAAACA
ensembl:lncRNA